rnacentral:rRNA from 1 species
CCUACGGGUGGCAGCAGUAGGGAAUUUUGCGCAAUGGGCGAAAGCCUGACGCAGCAACGCCGCGUGAUUGAUUAAGCCCUUCGGGGUGUAAAGAUCUGUCAGUGGGGACGAAACUUGACGGUACCCACAGAGGAAGCACCGGCUAACUCCGUGCCAGCAGCCGCGGUAAUACGUAGGGGGCAAGCGUUAUCCGGAUUUACUGGGUGUAAAGGGAGCGUAGACGGUGCAGCAAGUCUGAUGUGAAAGGUCGGGGCCCAACCCCGGGACUGCAUUGGAAACUGUUGAACUGGAGUACAGGAGAGGUAAGCGGAAUUCCUAGUGUAGCGGUGAAAUGCGUAGAUAUUAGGAGGAACACCAGUGGCGGAGGCGGCUUACUGGACUGUAACUGACGUUGAGGCUCGAAAGCGUGGGGAGCAAACAGGAUUAGAUACCCCUGUAGUC